AGAUGGCGACCGGCGCACGGGUGAGUAACACGUAUCCAACCUGCCCUUUACUCGGGGAUAGCCUUUCGAAAGAAAGAUUAAUACCCGAUAGCAUAAUGAUUCCGCAUGGUUUCAUUAUUAAAGGAUUCCGGUAAAGGAUGGGGAUGCGUUCCAUUAGGUUGUUGGUGAGGUAACGGCUCACCAAGCCUUCGAUGGAUAGGGGUUCUGAGAGGAAGGUCCCCCACAUUGGAACUGAGACACGGUCCAA
rnacentral:rRNA from 1 species